CCUACGGGAGGCAGCAGUGGGGAAUCUUGCGCAAUGGGCGAAAGCCUGACGCAGCCAUGCCGCGUGAAUGAUGAAGGUCUUAGGAUUGUAAAAUUCUUUCACCGGGGACGAUAAUGACGGUACCCGGAGAAGAAGCCCCGGCUAACUUCGUGCCAGCAGCCGCGGUAAUACGAAGGGGGCUAGCGUUGCUCGGAAUUACUGGGCGUAAAGGGAGCGUAGGCGGAUAGUUCAGUCAGAGGUGAAAGCCCAGGGCUCAACCUUGGAACUGCCUUUGAUACUGGCUAUCUUGAGUUUGGGAGAGGUAUGUGGAACUCCGAGUGUAGAGGUGAAAUUCGUAGAUAUUCGGAAGAACACCAGUGGCGAAGGCGACAUACUGGCCCAAUACUGACGCUGAGGCUCGAAAGCGUGGGGAGCAAACAGGAUUAGAUACCCUGGUAGUCCACGCUGUAAACGAUGAGUGCUAGUUGUCGGCAUGCAUGCAUGUCGGUGCGCAGCUACGACAUAAGACACGUCCGCCGUCGGGAGGUACGGUCGGCGAAGUAAGUUAAACGUUAAAGUUAGUAAGUUAGUUACGGCGUUGAGACGNGCGACGGACGACGACGAGGGAGGAGG
rnacentral:rRNA from 1 species